AUUUAUGGCCAUGCCACCCUGAACAAGCCUGAUGUCUGACCUCGGAAGCUAAUCAGGGUCAGGCCUGGUUAGUACUUGAAUGGGAGACCACCUAAGAAGACCAGGUGCUGUAGGCA
rnacentral:rRNA from 1 species